CCCCACUGCUAUCGGGAUAGGACUAAGACAUGCUAGUCGCGCGCCUUCCAGCUAUGUGGGAGGAGCGGCGUACAGCUCAGUAACACGUGGCUAACCUGCCCUUGGGACGGGAACACCCCCGGGAAACUGGGGCUAAUCCCCGAUAGGUGAAGAACUCUGGAAUGAGUCUCCGCCCAAAAGCCAUUUGGAUCAUGCUUUCAGAUGGUGCCCAAGGAUGGGGCCGCGACCGAUCAGGUUGUUGGUGAGGUAAUGGCCCACCAAGCCUAUAACCGGUGCGGGCCGUGAGAGCGGGAGCCCGGAGAUGGGCACUGAGACAAGGGCCCAGGUCCUACGGGGCGCAGCAGUCGCGAAAACUUUGCAAUACACGAAAGUGUGACAGGGUUAUCCCGAGUGCCGACCGCUGAGGUUGGCUUUUACCCAGUCUAGAAAGCUGGGGGAAUAAGGAGAGGGCAAGUCUGGUGUCAGCCGCCGCGGUAAUACCAGCUCUCCGAGUGGUGUGGACGUUUAUUGGGCCUAAAGCAUCCGUAGCUGGCCGAACAAGUCCCCUGUUAAACCCACCGAUUUAAUCGUUGGCUUGCGGGGGAUACUGCUCGGCUAGGGGACGAGAGAGGCAGACGGUAUUCCCGGGGUAGGGGUGAAAUCCUAUAAUCCCGAGAAGACCACCAGUGGCGAAGGCUGUCUGCUAGAACGCGCCCGACGGUGAGGGAUGAAAGCUGGGGGAGCGAACCGGAUUAGAUACCCGGGUAGUCCCAGCUGUAAACGAUGCAGACUAGGUGUUUGGACGGCCACGUGCCGUUCUAGUGCCGCAGGGAAGCUGUUAAGUCUGCCGCCUGGGGAGUACGAUCGCAAGAUUGAAACUUAAAGGAAUAGGCGGGGGAGCACCACAAGGGGUGAAGCUUGCGGUUU
rnacentral:rRNA from 1 species